ACAAAUAAUAGUGUUUUCAAAGUCUUUUUUAGAUUGUUUAUUCAUUGUACAGAGGGUUAGCCAGUCUCUUUAUUAUUUCUCACAUCAAUAUUUCCCUCUCUGUUUAUUUCUCUUGUUCUACAGCAAUGGUGUGGUAUUAUUUCUCCAAACAAAGGAAAUGUGCCAAAAUGUAAUUUUACAGUGGCCUCUGCUAAUUUCCUUCAUUGCCCCCUACCAUUUCAGGCUGUUUCCUUCUGUUUCUCUCCUAGUCUAUGGGAAACUUCUCAGGGAUCCUGGAGGGUGGCUGGAAUUUUAUUGUUCUGACUGGUACUAUAUUAAGUGUUUUUAUGUAUUAUCUUAUUGGAUAUGUAGAACAAUUCUGUGAGAUAUGCACUUCUACUAUCUGCAUUUCGAAGACACAGAAACUGAAGUGUGGAGAGAUGAAUCUGUUUGCCAGAGAGAAUAAGAAAGCUCAGAGAGAAGGAGCAGAAUUAGGAGGAACACUCUCAGGAAAGAAAUCCUAAGAAUUCACAAAGAAUUCAAACAACAGGACUCGUAGCCCUGCACCUUAUUAGAACUGUGCUCCCUGCCUACCAUCCAUCUCACAGUAACAGCAACCUCAUUUUGCUUCUUCUUGUGUCCCAUGAGGAAUUCUGUGAUAGCCUGGCCGAUUCUUCAGAAAGCUGCCUCUGUCAUUGGAUCAAGAGGUAAAAGUGGUAAACAUAGAAAACAACUGAAGAUAUUCCAAAGGAACACCCAGUAUGGCGAUUAGGAGACAGAACUUUGGAAACCGCACACUCUGGACUAACUCCCAGCUCUUCACCUCUUAGCUGUAUGAUCUUACGAAGUUGCAUAUUUAGACUCAGGUGAAUCAUCUAUAAAAUGGGGACAAUAAUUCCUAUCUCACAAUAUUAUGAAUAACGAAAAACUCAAUAAAAUGAGUUCAUAUGCAUAAAGUACUUAAAACUGUUUCCAGCAUAUUGAUAAUGCCCCUCUUAAUAAAUAAUCUAUUAUUCAAAUAUUUAUAUUAUCUAGAGCACAUGGGAUAGUGUUUCUACCUGUAAAUUUCAAUUCAAACUUCACAAUUAUAUUAACUCAUAAAGUCAAGCAUAGACUGCCGGUACAUCUCUCUUAGUUACUUUUCUCUUCUCUGAGAAAUACCUAACACCCAAAGUUAAAGGAG
rnacentral:lncRNA from 1 species